rnacentral:misc_RNA from 1 species
UAGAACCCCAGCCGAGGACAGGAGCCUCCUUUCCUUUGUUAUAUUAUGCUUGCCUAAUAAUAUCGAAGCUGAAAAUCAAUGGCUUCUUGUACCUCGGCCUCAGUCAAAGCCCAGGAUGAUCAGGUUCUGGUGGAAGAGACCUUGUCUGCAAGAACUUUGAUAUUAAACAGGCCUAGACAGUUGAAUGCCCUUUCCAAUCAAAUGGUUUCUCGCCUACUGGAGCUUUUCAUUGCUUAUGAGGAGGAUCCCAAUGUCAAGUUGCUUGUUCUUAAGGGAAAUGGAAGAGCAUUUUGCGCAGGUGGUGAUGUUUCUGCUGUGGUUCGUUAUAUUCGUGAAGGUGAUUGGAAAUUAGGUGCCAAGUUCUUUGCGAAGGAAUACAUUUUAAACUAUGUGAUGGCAACAUAUGCUAAACCCCAGGUUUCUAUCCUUAAUGGAAUUGUCAUGGGAGGUGGUGCUGGUGCUUCUAUACAUGGAAGAUUUCGUGUUGCAACUGAGAAUUCGGUAGUUUUCUCUCUCUAGUAAAGGUUUGAAGCAAUAGAGAAUAUCUCUUACCCCUAUUAGAAGUGAACUUUUGUCGCUAUGAUCUUAAUGUUUUCUAUGUGGGUGAAUUCCCAACAAGUUACUUGCAUAUUUUUGCUCAUUUAUUGAUCAUAAGAAUGCACUUCUAAACACCUUUUGCUUAUUAAUUCAAUGAUAUUAAUGCAUAGGAGCCUUAGCGAAGCUGAAAUUUAUAUGUUUCACAUCUAUCACUGUCUUAGAAGUUAGUGUUUCUAGUUUCCUUUGGCAAAUUUCUUUAUAUGUGAUGUUUUGCAGGUCUUUGCAAUGCCUGAAACAGCUCUAGGACUCUUCCCUGAUGUAGGUGCCUCUUAUUUCUUGUCAAGACUUCCUCGAUUCUUUGGAGAGUAUGUUGGACUUACAGGUGCCAAAUUGGAUGGUGCUGAAAUGCUGGAGUCUGGCCUUGCAACUCACUUUGUCCCAUCAGCGAAGUUGUCUUUGUUAGAAGAAGCAUUACACAAAGAAGAUUCAAGUGAUCCAGUGACUAUUUCAUCUAUCAUUGAUAAAUACUCUCAGCAACCAUAUUUGAAAGAGCAAAGUGCCUGUCUACGGUUGGAUGUUAUUGAUAGAUGCUUCUCUCGGAGAACAGUUGAAGAGAUUUUAUCUGCCCUUGAGAGGGAGGCCAUGAAUAAGGCAGAUGCUUGGAUAACUACCACUAUUCAGUCACUGAAGAAGGCUUCUCCAACAAGUCUUAAGAUUUCUCUUAGAUUGAUCAAUUUUAAGCUCCUAAGAAUGAUGCAACUGAAAGAUGGAGAGUAGUCUUCAAUCUUCACUUGGACUUUGAGAAGGGAACUGUAGUUAUGCAGGCUGUCAAAGAAAAUGAAGUAAUUAUAAUUUUUCUUUUGAAGAAAAGAGUUGUAGUUAUUCGAUUUAUAAAAGAAGGGAAAGAUUAGAAAUAGCAACAGAUUUCAAGAACACUUUAUUAUAUAUUUAGAACGCCCAAUAACUAACAGAUAUGGGAACACCCAAUCGCAAAUAUAUAAUUUACAUUUUUUUUUUGUCCAUGCCAAGUUCUUAAGUUUCAUAACUUCCGCUUGUUAAACCCUGAAGUUAUAUAAUAUGUUUUAAGUUUUUAGGUUCUCAAGUUCCAAAAUAAGAAACCUUACAACCUUUUAAUUUGGAUGAGCCUACUUUGACCUUUGACUAAGUUCCAUGAGUUUGUUCGAGUAAAAAGCCACGUGACACUCAUGACCACCUAAUACGUGGCCAUUUGAACUGCUAUAUGCAAUAUUAUUGACUUCCAUCUCCAUUAUUCCUUUUUAAAUUUUUAAUGCCGCAUUCUACCACCUCAAAUUGUGUAAACUAUAUUUACUGCACCUAUGUGUCUAACCUUUGGCUCCAUACCUGAAUUACUCAGUAAACGUUAACAAAUUUUCGGUAAUUUACAAGUUAGCCCCUAAGGUAUGACAAAAACCAAAACUUAGUUCUAUUUUCAAGGAGAGACAAGUUUGUCUCCAAGGUAUGUUUAUGUUAAUAGAAUAAUCCUUUUGUUAAAAAUUCCUUAUUAGUGGACUAAUGAAUGUAACAAUUUAGUUCAUCACAUUUCUCUUUUUGUAAUAGUUUAGUCUAUGUAAUUUUAAUACUUAUAACAGUUUAUGAUUGCUUCAGUUUAUGGUUGACUAACAGUAAAUUGAAUAAAAUGACUGCUUUGUUAACAAAAGCAUAAUUGGGGACUAACUUGUUUCUCCUUAAAAAUAGAGUGACUAGGUUGUAGUUUUUGACAUACCUUAAGUAUUAAAUUUAGAUAACCAAAAAGUUUCAUGCAAAUCAUGUUGCCUCCGUGAACGGUUCCUUAAAUUCUCUCUCUUAAGGCUCUUAAAAUUUGAAUCUUUUCAAGUAGACUUGGAACAGACUCAGAAAGAGAGAUAAUAAGUUGAUACACAAAAGAUUUGAUCUAGCGGCAAAUAUUAUAAUUAAAUCAAAUAGCAAGUCUUUGUAUUUUGUAAACUUCUAAUGAGAUAGUGACCCACUAGAAACUCACCAAAUCGAAAUUAUAAAUAAGUUGAUAUCUUAGGUUUAGACUGUGUUAAUAGGAACUAAUUGAAAACGUUUCUCAUAUUUGUCAUAUUUCCCCACUCUUCUUCAUCGCCUUUAAAAUUUUUUUUCAGCAUGUUAUUUUUCUGCUCAAUUUUGUGUGAAUUUCUUUUGUUGCUUGAUCUGGGCAUGUGAUUACCCAUCCAUGAAUAUGGACAUUGUGCAACAAGAUUUAAUAUACAAGGCUUGAGUCAUUCCAAAAGUAUCCAUUUAAAUAAAUGUUAAAAGGGAAAUUCUUGCCUAUACCUAGUCUAUCAUGAAUCCAAGAUACAAUCGUUUAGAACCUAGGUAUUUAACAGAUGGACCCCACUAUAUAUGUUGUAUCUUGGAUUCAUUGUUGUCCAGGUUUAGGCAAGAAAAAUUCAUGUUAUAAUUGAAGCUUAUAUAAAGAGGUCCAUAAAUUAUUUUCCCAUUUUAAAGAUAAAAUACAGGAAUUGAAUGUUGUCACUGAGGAGCUCAACUGCUGCUGCUUCUGUGUUAUUAUUUGCAAACUGAAAGUGAUUUCCCUUCCGUGGUUCCA